UACGGAGGAUGCGAGCGUUAUCCAGAUUUAUUGGGUUUAAAGGGUGCGUAGGCGGCUUUUUAAGUCAGCAGUGAAAUUUUGUCAGCUUAACUGUAACAGUGCCGUUGAUACUGGGGAGCUAGGAUUUGGUUGCUGUGGGUGGAAUGUGUGGUGUAGCGGUGAAAUGCUUAGAGAUCACACAGAAUAUCGAUUGCGAAGGCAGCUCACAAAGCCAAGAUUGACGCUGAGGCACGAAAGUGUGGGGAGUCAAACA
rnacentral:rRNA from 1 species